rnacentral:lncRNA from 1 species
CGCUCAGGGACUGGACGUAAAGAAGAGUGCAAGUGGCGGGGUGGACGCGCUUUCCGCUGCCCUUUUGCAAACACUUUGCGAGAGCCGCUGCCCGGGCCUGAGGCGCUGGUGCUCGCUGCUGCGCGCGCCAGGGGGGUGAAGUUGUGAGGUUCCGCGGUGGGCGGAGACAGAACGCGGAGCCUCUGCUGAAGCGACGGCAGGAGGAGGAGGCGCCCGGGCAGUGGCUGCGGCGGCUGCAGGUAGUGGCAUGUGCUGGAGGGAUCUGCAGUGUGAUUGACAUUCCAUGGUGCUUCCUCUUUAUUUUCUUCACACAGGAGAAGAGUGUUACCACACACACCCAAUGAAUGUCAACUACACAAGUACUGCAAAAAUGAAUGAAGAGGAACUGUUUUAAGGAUCUCCAAAGCAGCAACUGACUAGAUGAGAAGAAUUGAAAGGGACCUUAUGUCAGUAGCUAAUUGGCAUAGCUGAGGUACAUGCACUCUCCACAGCAUGCCCACUCCCUAUACCAAGGUGGGAAUGCAGUGACUGCAUGCAGGAGCUAGCUCCAUCACCUACAGCAGCUUUAUGCUAGCAGGGA